GAUGUUUCUGUUUUCCUCUCCGAGUAUUUCUACUUUGGGUCCCUCCUGAUUCAGUGAGAGAAGACUAAGUGAGAACUGGACUUCAGUUGACCAAACCUAUGUCUUCGUUCAGGUGCACUGUGUGCUGGCUACGGUUUCUACUCCAUGUUGUUUUCUUUCUGGAAUUCAGACUGAUAGAGGUGCCUUUAUCUGGGACAUCGCAGAAUCUAGCAGCAGAAGAAAAAUGGAGGAGAUGGGAAACCAUGGCUGGCUUUGGACAUUUUCGACUAAAAUCAACAAACAUCAUUCUUACUCAAAUUUCAGCCAAAACAGGUCCACAACAUUAUCCCAGAGGUGGUGGAUUGCUUGCUGUCUUCCCCAAAUAUGUUCUUUUUUCCUGCACUGUGAGAACCCAGGGAGAGAUUACAUUUCUCAGCCUCCCUCGUAGCGAGGUGCAGAUGGGUGGCUCAAUUCUUACCAGUGGAACAUGAGCAGAAGUGGUAGGUCCACCCUCUGCCUCCUUGCUUAAGUAAAGGAAAAUUGCUUGCCUUGGA